rnacentral:rRNA from 1 species
GGGUUGUGAGGUUAAGCGACUAAGCGUACACGGUGGAUGCCCUGGCAGUCAGAGGCGAUGAAGGACGUGCUAAUCUGCGAUAAGCGCCGGUAAGGUGAUAUGAACCGUUAUAACCGGCGAUUUCCGAAUGGGGAAACCCAGUGUGACUCGUCACACUAUCAUUAACUGAAUCCAUAGGUUAAUGAGGCGAACCGGGGGAACUGAAACAUCUAAGUACCCCGAGGAAAAGAAAUCAACCGAGAUUCCCCCAGUAGCGGCGAGCGAACGGGGAGGAGCCCAGAGCCUGAAUCAGCAUGUGUGUUAGUGGAAGCGUCUGGAAAGGCGCGCGAUACAGGGUGACAGCCCCGUACACAAAAGCGCAUGUGCUGUGAGCUCGAUGAGUAGGGCGGGACACGUG